rnacentral:lncRNA from 1 species
GUUCCUUUCCUGAGGAUGGCUCACCCCUCACAGUUCUGGAUGAAAUCUUGCGUCUUGUGACGGCCGGCCGCCCAACAACCUGCCCGCUUGACCCUAUCCCCUCCUCUCUUCUCCAGACCAUUUCCGGAGACCUUCUCCCUUACCUCACCUCGCUCAUCAACUCAUCCUUGACCGCUGGCUACGUCCCUUCCGUCUUCAAGAGAACCUAUCUGCUGCCUUUAAUACUGUGAACCAUCAGAUCCUCCUCUCCACCCUCUCCGAGUUGGGUAUCUCCGGCGCGGCUCACUCUUGGAUUGCGUCCUACCUGAC